rnacentral:rRNA from 1 species
CCACGCCCUAAACGAUGCGAACUGGAUGUUGGUCUCAACUCGGAGAUCAGUUUUGAAGCUAACGCGUUAAGUUCGCCGCCUGGGGAGUACGGUCGCAAGACUGAAACUCAAAGGAAUUGACGGGGGCCCGCACAAGCGGUGGAGUAUGUGGUUUAAUUCGAUGCAACGCGAAGACCCUUACCUGGCCUUGACAUGUCUGGAAUCCUGCAGAGAUGCGGGAGUGCCUUCGGGAAUCAGAACACAGGUGCUGCAUGGCUGUCGUCAGCUCGUGUCGUGAGAUGUUGGGUUAAGUCCCGCAACGAGCGCAACCCUUGUCCUUAGUUGCCAGCACGUAAUGGUGGGAACUCUAAGGAGACUCCCGGUGACAAACCGGAGGAAGGUGGGGAUGACGUCAAGUCAUCAUGGCCCUUUCGUCCAGGGCUACACACGUACUACAAUGGUCGGUACAGAGGGUUGCAAUACCGCGAGGUGGAGCCAAUCCCAGAAAGCCGAUCCCAGUCCGGAUCGAAGUUCGCAACUUGACUUCGUGAAGUCGGAAUCGCUAGUAAUCGCGGAUCACCUAUGCCGCGGUGAAUACGUUCCCGGGCCUUGUACACACCCCCCGUCACACCACGGGAGCCAGUUGCUCCAGAAGCCGUUAGUCUAACCGC